AUAAAAAUAUGUUAGUAAUUUUAAAAGUGCGGUUGGAUGCUUUUUCUGGUGUGUUGAGUUUUCUUCUUUUUGUACUAUAAAAUAUGUUAGUGAUUUCAAAAGUACAAUCGGAUGCACUUCAGGUGCUUUGAGUUUUCUUCCUUCUAUACGAUAAAUAAAUAUGCUGGUGAUGCAUUGAGUUUUCUUUCUAUUAUACGAUAAAAUUUGCUGGUGAUUUCAGAAGUGCAGUUGGAUGCACUUUCAGAUACGUUGAAUUUUCUUUCUUCUAUACGAUAAAAUAUGCUGGUGAUUUCAGAAAUGCGGUUGGAUACACUUCCAAGUGCGUUGAGUUUUCUCCCUUCUAUACGAUAAAAUAUGCUGAUAAUUCAAAAAUACAGUUUUAU
rnacentral:lncRNA from 1 species